GGGCGUGUAGCUCAGUGGCAGAGUAGCUGGUUGCCACGGAGAAGAUUCCGGGUUCAACCCCCAGCACCUCCA
rnacentral:tRNA from 1 species